rnacentral:rRNA from 1 species
GACACGCUGGCGGCGUGCUUAAUACAUGCAAGUCGAGCGAGGUUACUGGAGUGGAGCCCUUCGGGGUGAAGCUGCUUUAACCUAGCGGCGGACGGGUGAGUAACGCGUGGGUAACCUACCCCAAAGCCCGGGAUAACAGCGGGAAACCGCUGCUAAUACCGGAUGACUUUACCUUGGGGCAUCUUGAGGUAAAGAAAGGUUAACGCUUUGGGAUGGGCCCGCGUCCCAUUAGCUAGUUGGUGAGGUAACGGCUCACCAAGGCGACGAUGGGUAGCCGGCCUGAGAGGGUGGACGGCCACACUGGGACUGAGACACGGCCCAGACUCCUACGGGAGGCAGCAGUAGGGAAUAUUGCGCAAUGGACGGAAGUCUGACGCAGCGACGCCGCGUGAGCGAUGAAGGCCUUCGGGUCGUAAAGCUCUGUCCUUGGGGAAGAAGGUCUUCGGACUUGACGGUACCCAAGAAGAAAGCCCCGGCUAACUACGUG